AUUGAACGCUGGCGGCAUGCCUUACACAUGCAAGUCGAACGGUAACAGGUCUUCGGAUGCUGACGAGUGGCGAACGGGUGAGUAAUACAUCGGAACGUGCCCAGACGUGGGGGAUAACGAGGCGAAAGCUUUGCUAAUACCGCAUACGAUCUAAGGAUGAAAGCAGGGGACCGCAAGGCCUUGCGCGUUUGGAGCGGCCGAUGGCAGAUUAGGUAGUUGGUGGGAUAAAAGCUUACCAAGCCGACGAUCUGUAGCUGGUCUGAGAGGACGACCAGCCACACUGGGACUGAGACACGGCCCAGACUCCUACGGGAGGCAGCAGUGGGGAAUUUUGGACAAUGGGCGAGAGCCUGAUCCAGCAAUGCCGCGUGCAGGAUGAAGGCCUUCGGGUUGUAAACUGCUUUUGUACGGAACGAAAAGGCUCUGGCUAAUACCUGGGGCACAUGACGGUACCGUAAGAAUAAGCACCGGCUAACUACGUG
rnacentral:rRNA from 1 species